rnacentral:rRNA from 1 species
AUGUACUGCUCGGAUGCUUCAGUCAGCGCUCGAGGGAACUCGGGACUAGAGCUAGAGGGAGCUGAGAGGAAGAAGGGGAAAAUGGGCUCCAGUAGGGUUGGUACAGUUUCCCUUGUUCUUCUACUGCUCAUCGUCGUUUCGGUUUGCGCCGCAGGAGGCAGGGGGCUGGCCGAAGAAAAGAUUCAGAAGGAACAUCACAACGCUGUGCACAAGGAGGGAACGACAGCUCCAGGCAGCCAUCCAAGGAACCUCAUGGUGAAGACGAACGACUACGGCCGCUACGACCCGACUCCAGCGUUCUCCAGGCCUCGCUUCAAGCCUAUACCUCACUGA